GAUGAACGCUAGCGGCAGGCUUAAUACAUGCAAGUCGAGGGGCAGCAGGACUGUAGCAAUACAGUUGCUGGCGACCGGCAAACGGGUGCGGAACACGUACGCAACCUUCCUUUAAGUGAGGGAUAGCCCAGGGAAACUUGGAUUAAUACCUCGUAAUAUUUGAGAGUGGCAUCACUUUUUAAUUAUAGCUCCGGCGCUUAAAGAUGGGCGUGCGACUGAUUAGGUAGUUGGCGGGGUAACGGCCCACCAAGCCUGCGAUCAGUAACUGGUGUGAGAGCACGACCAGUCACACGGGCACUGAGACACGGGCCCGACUCCUACGGGAGGCAGCAGUAAGGAAUAUUGGUCAGUGGACGCAAGUCUGAACCAGCCAUGCCGCGUGGAGGAUGAAGGUCCUCUGGAUUGUAAACUUCUUUUAUCUGGGAAGAAACCCAUAUUUUCUAGUGUGGUUGACGGUACCAGAUGAAUAAGCACCGGCUAACUCCGUGCCAGCCGCCGCAGUAAGAC
rnacentral:rRNA from 1 species